AUUCCUACUGAAAAGAAAAAAAACAAUUAUUUUUUAUAUACAUUUAAUGUUACGUAUCAAUUAUUGUGAAAUUCAUUCAUACUAAUAGCAUAUUGUACUUUCAGUACUGGUGCCCAAAAAUGUGCUGCUUUCCAAGCUCUGUCUGGAAGGCCAUCGAAGAAAGGUUUAUCGACUGUGUCGGUGAGUCUGGAAUAUAUCGUGCAUUAAAGAGGACACGGGACGAAUUUCGGCUGGUUUUUCUUUAUCCUUUCUACCAACACAAAUACACGUUCGCCGAUUUCAUGCAAAGAUACAGAGGAGGCUGGUGAUAGUAGUAACCCCUUAUUUCUCACCGAGAGAAGGGUAUCCAUUUAAUCGAGUAUCGGGCAAAGUGCAGGUAUUUCGCAGACUUCUUUCUUUCAAAUCUCGAGGACCACCCGUGAGUAUUUACAAGCAAAUGCUUAAAAACGAGGGAGCGGAAAUCAUUUCCCUGCACUUCUCCGCGCACAAAGGAUCUCUCUAUUUGGGCGAGCGUUGCAUUGUUUUAAAGGUAUUUUAAAGGUACUGAGAAAGGAAUAGAGAGGGAUAAAAGGAUAGGAGAGAGAAAAAGGCGAGGACCGAAGCCACGAGUUCGUGGGUGCGGUUCCAAUUAUCCACAGUGGCUCUCAGAGAGAGAGAGAGAGAGGAAAAAGGACCAACGCAGCCUCCCCCCCCUCCCCUUGGGCCGCAAAAAAGGGUGGGGUCCUUUUACGAUUCUCCUUUCUUCCUCUUUGUUCGUUCAACCCUCCCAGAGAAGUACGUAUCGAAUCGAUUCUCCUCGACUCGUUUGCAACCCGUCCGCCGAGUGACACACGCGGUUGUCGUGCAUUAUCAUUUCUUAUUCCCACGGAGAAUAUUCCGCGUAUCUCAAUUCUGUUACGAGACACCGAUCUAAUUUUAUACGACGAUGAAACAAAGGAUACGCAAACAAAGGGAACGAGAACGAUUUCGUCUCUUUCUGGGUUAAGACAACAUCGUUCCUCGUCUCUUCCUUCUUUUUUUUUUUUUUUCGUUCAUAUUAUAACGAUGUCGAGCUUCGUUCGCUAGCGUAUCAGAAGAGAAUCGUUUCGUCUCUUCUUCUUCUUCUUUUUUUUUUUUUUAACCCAUUGAUGCAAACGUUCGCCAUCCCAUUUCAUCGAUCGUUCGUCUGAAAAAUAACUCGGCCAAAACGAAAAAAAAAAAAAAAAAAAUUUACUAUUUGCGCCCGCGAUGUUACCGUUAAACGGGUCGUCUUCGUGAUUCGCAAACGUUGGUUGGUUGGUUUCGUGGAAACGUUUAGUGGUACGUGGUUAAAAGACUCGGGCAACCUCUGGUUCGUAAACGAAAAGUCACUCGACGAGAGUGGCGGACAUGGUUCGGAGCCGCUCUACAGUUACAGGGUGCAGCUACCUGCGUAGGUGAGCGAGGGAUCCACAGACGUAGGAUUUAAAAAAAAAAAAAGAGAAAGAAAAAGAAAGAAAGAAAAUCACACCGUUGGCCAGCCACUUCUUGGCUGACUUGGCAAAUUAGUUUGCCAGUAUUGUAUAUAGGAAUUUACAAUUACUUACCACGUACACAGCUACUACUGUUCGUCAUUCGCGUGUCUUUAAUCGUCCUUAACUCGUAUCAACGAGAGGUGUACGAGAGGUUUUACUUUUGAAAAAAUGUUUCAACACGAGUUAAACGUAUGGAGGAAAAAGGAGAAGGAGGAGGAGGAGGAGGAGGAAAAUUUAUGAAAAUUAAAGAAGACCGCUUAUCUUAACGAGCAUUAUCUACCGAUGAAUUAUACUAAAUUUCAGUCUCCUCGACAGAGCAGCUGUACACACAGCUAGCGUGCAAACGGCAUUUUCAUCCACCGCGUGAACAACGUUAUCUACCAAUGAACAUUUCACGUAUUACAAGCCGAUAACUUUAAUCGGAGCAAAAACGACCCCCACAGCUUCAAACUUGGCAAUGGAUAGCAUGUUUCGAGCACGGUUAACGUAACGUGGUCGCGUGAUCGCGAGUAACACGUCAGAUAUGCUGCUCGAUGCUUAAUCCCUUUCCAGGGGCGAAAAGGGUAGG